rnacentral:rRNA from 1 species
GUAGGUGGCAAGCGUUGUCCGGAAUUAUUGGGCGUAAAGCGCGCGCAGGCGGUUCUUUAAGUCUGAUGUGAAAGCCCACGGGCUCAACCGUGGAGGGUCAUUGGAAACUGGAGAACUUGAGUACAGAAGAGGAAAGCGGAAUUCCACGUGUAGCGGUGAAAUGCGUAGAGAUGUGGAGGAACACCAGAGGCGAAGGCGGCUUUCUGGUCUGUAACUGACGCUGAGGCGCGAAAGCGUGGGGAGCAAACAGGAUUAGAUACCCUGGUAGUCCACGCCGUAAACGAUGAGUGCUAAGUGUUAGGGGGUUUCCGCCCCCUUAGUGCUGCAGCUAACGCAUUAAGCACUCCGCCUGGGGAGUACGGCCGCAAGGCUG